GUCCUGGCAGUAAACGGUGCACGUUUGGUGUGGGAGGAUUCGACCCCUUCCGUGCCGGAGCUAACGCGUUAAACGUGCCGCCUGGGGAGUACGGUCGCAAGAUUAAAACUCAAAGAAAUUGACGGGGGCCCGCACAAGCGGUGGAGUAUGUGGCCUAAUUCGAUGCAACGCGAAGAACCUUACCUAGCCUUGACAUGCAUCUCUAAGGCGGUGAAAGCCGUCGAGUGUAGCAAUACACAAUUUGCACAGGUGCUGCAUGGCUGUCGU
rnacentral:rRNA from 1 species